AUGGCUAUUUUUUUGUUGUUGUUACAUUAGCGUCACAUGACACCACACAAAAAUACACUACCACUGGUUUGUUCCACCAUGAUGUAAUUUUAUAUCUUUGCUUAAAUGUGCAUUUUGUAGCAGUUUUUUCAACUACUGUAGGUUUCCACGGAUUGCUGGACCCAGUAUGCAGGCUCAGUGGUUUUUGGCCUCUUUGACACCUUGUGAAGACCGUCCCAGGCAGAGUUUACCGUACAGAGGAAUCAAAUCAAAUGUGCAGCUACACACGAUUCUGACAUACAAUGAAGUCGGUGUCUGAGUGGAAACAGUUGGCCAGGGCUGCUGCAGACGUCUGAUGGCUUCUGAGCUCAGUCAGCCCCGUGUGUCCCAGCCCACUUUGCCUCAGGGCUCUCAUCAUUAGCAGGGAGUUAGGUGUUGUAUGAGAAUAGAAAUGAGUUCACUGAAAAGUCAGGAGUCCUCUCUCACCCUUCACCCCAACCCAGCAGUGACCCUGUGCUGGAACUGUACUCACUGAGAGUUUUUAUCCAAAAGCAAUCCCAAUCGACUCCAGUUCUCAGUCCAUUUGAUAUAUUUCCCUUUCUUCAUGUCUUAAUGUCUUUUGUUUCCAUUAUCGUCUGCUCACAUUGCAACGUCUGUACUGUAAAAAAGGGUUUCUCUUGUCAAACCGAGUCAGCGCAGAGAAGAGUUCA